rnacentral:rRNA from 1 species
ACGAACGCUGGCGGCGUGGAUAAGACAUGCAAGUCGAACGGGAGAAUUGCUAGCUUGCUAAUAAUUCUCUAGUGGCGCACGGGUGAGUAACACGUGAGUAACCUGCCUCUUAGUGGGGGAUAGCCCUGGGAAACCGGGAUUAAUACCGCAUACGAUUGAAAGAUCAAAGCAGCAAUGCGCUAGGAGAUGGGCUCGCGGCCUAUUAGUUAGUUGGUGAGGUAACGGCUCACCAAGGCGAUGACGGGUAGCCGGUCUGAGAGGAUGUCCGGCCACACUGGAACUGAGACACGGUCCAGACACCUACGGGUGGCAGCAGUCGAGAAUCAUUCACAAUGGGGGCAACCCUGAUGGUGCGACGCCGCGUGGGGGAAUGAAGGUCUUCGGAUUGUAAACCCCUGUCAUGUGGGAGCAAAUUAAAAAGAUAGUACCACAAGAGGAAGAGACGGCUAACUCUGUGCCAGCAGCCGCGGUAAUACAGAGGUCUCAAGCGUUGUUCGGAAUCACUGGGCGUAAAGCGUGCGUAGGCUGUUUCGUAAGUCGUGUGUGAAAGGCAGGGGCUCAACCCCUGGAUUGCACAUGAUACUGCGAGACUAGAGUAAUGGAGGGGGAACCGGAAUUCUCGGUGUAGCAGUGAAAUGCGUAGAUAUCGAGAGGAACACUCGUGGCGAAGGCGGGUUCCUGGACAUUAACUGACGCUGAGGCACGAAGGCCAGGGGAGCGAAAGGGAUUAGAUACCCCUGUAGUCCUGGCAGUAAACGGUGCACGCUUGGUGUGCGGGGAAUCGACCCCCUGCGUGCCGGAGCUAACGCGUUAAGCGUGCCGCCUGGGGAGUACGGUCGCAAGAUUAAAACUCAAAGAAAUUGACGGGGACCCGCACAAGCGGUGGAGUAUGUGGCUUAAUUCGAUGCAACGCGAAGAACCUUACCUGGGCUUGACAUGUAAUGAACAACAUGUGAAAGCAUGCGACUCUUCGGAGGCGUUACACAGGUGCUGCAUGGCCGUCGUCAGCUCGUGUCGUGAGAUGUUUGGUUAAGUCCAGCAACGAGCGCAACCCCUGUUGCCAGUUACCAGCACGUCAAGGUGGGGACUCUGGCGAGACUGCCCAGAUCAACUGGGAGGAAGGUGGGGACGACGUCAGGUCAGUAUGGCCCUUAUGCCCAGGGCUGCACACGUACUACAAUGCCCAGUACAGAGGGGGCCGAAGCCGCGAGGCGGAGGAAAUCCUGAAAACUAGGCCCAGUUCGGACUGUAGGCUGCAACCCGCCUACACGAAGCCGGAAUCGCUAGUAAUGGCGCAUCAGCUACGGCGCCGUGAAUACGUUCCCGGGUCUUGUACACACCGCCCGUCACAUCAUGGAAGCCGGUCGCACCCGAAGUAUCUGAAGCCAACCGCAAGGAGGCAGGGUCCUAAGGUGAGACUGGUAACUGGGAUG